rnacentral:tRNA from 1 species
GCAUCCGUAGCUCAGCUGGAUAGAGUGUCUCCCUCCGGAGGAGAAGGUCGUGGGUUCGAAUCCCGCCGGGUGCACCA